rnacentral:rRNA from 1 species
CAGUAGCCACGGGAAUACAGAGGGUGCGAGCGUUAAUUGGAUUUACUGGGCGUAAAGCGUGCGUAGGCGGCUUCUUAAGUCGGAUGUGAAAUCCCUGAGCUUAACUUAGGAAUUGCAUUCGAUACUGGGAAGCUAGAGUAUGGGAGAGGAUGGUAGAAUUCCAGGUGUAGCGGUGAAAUGCGUAGAGAUCUGGAGGAAUACCGAUGGCGAAGGCAGCCAUCUGGCCUAAUACUGACGCUGAGGUACGAAAGCAUGGGGAGCAAACAGGAUUAGAUACCCCCGUAGUCCCUGUCUCUUAUAC